CUUUAAUGGUGUGAACACUUUGAGGUGUAAACAAUUUAAUGGUGUGAACGCUUUAAGGUGUGAACGCUUUAAUGGUGUGAACACUUUGAGGUGUGAACACUUUAAGGUGUGAACGCUUUAAUGGUGGGAACACUUUAAUGGUGUGAACGCUUUAAGGUGUGAACGCUUUAAUGGUGUGAACACUUUGAGGUGUGAACACUUUAAGGUGUGAACGCUUUAAUGGUGGGAACACUUUAAUGGUGUGAACGCUUUAAGGUGUGAACACUUUAAUGGUGUGAACACUUUGAGGUGUGAACACUAUAAGGUGUGAACGCUUUGAGGUGUGAACGCUUUGAGAUGUGAACGCUUUAAGGUGUGAACGCUUUGAGGUGUGAACGCUUUAAGGUGUGAACGCUUUGAGGUGUGAACGCUUUAAGGUGUGAAUGCUUUAAGGUGUGAAUGCUUUCAGGUGUGAACACUUUAAUGGUGUGAACGCUUUAAGAUGUGAACGCUUUAAGGUGUGAACGCUUUAAGGUGUGAAUGCUUUCAGGUGUGAACACUUUAAUGGUGUGAACGCUUUAAGAUGUGAACGCUUGAGAUGUUAAUGCUUUCAGGUGUGAACGCUUUAAGAUGUGAACGCUUUAAUGGUGUGAACGCUUGAGAUGUGAAUGCUUUAAGGUGUGAACGCAUGAGAUGUGAAUGCUUUCAGGUGUGAACACUUUAAUGGUGUGAAUGCUUUAAGGUGUGAAAGCUUUAAGGUGUGAACGCUUUAAUGGUGUGAACACUUGAGAUGUGAACGCUUUAAUGAUGUGAACACUUUAAUGGUGUGAACGCAUUAAUGGUGUGAACACUUUAAUGGUGUGAACGCUUUAAGGUGUGAACGCUUUAAUGGUGUGAAUGCUUUAAGGUGUGAACACUUUAAGGUGUGAACACUUUUAUGGUGUGAACACUUUGAGGUGUGAACGUUUUAAGGUGUGAAUGCUUUAAGGUGUGAACACUUGAAGGUGUGAAUGCUUUAAGGUGUGAACGCUUGAGAUGUGAAUGCUUUCAGGUGUGAACGCUUUAAUGGUGUGAACGUUUUAAGGUGUGAAUGCUUUAAGGUGUGAACACUUGAAGGUGUGAAUGCUUUAAGAUGUGAACGCUUGAGGUGUGAAUGCUUUCAGGUGUGAACACUUUAAUGGUGUGAACGCUUUAAGGUGUCAACGCUUGAGAUGUGAAUGCUUUCAGGUGUGAACACUCUAAUAGUGUGAACGCUUUAAGGUGUGAACGCUUGGGAUGUGAAUGCUUUAAGGUGUGAACACU